CCUACGGGAUGCAGCAGUCGCGAAAACUCCGCAAUGCACGAAAGUGUGACGGGGCUACCCCGAGUGCCGUCCGCUGAGGAUGGCUUUUCCUUGGUGUAACUAGCCGGGGGAAUAAGGAGAGGGCAAGACUGAUGUCAGCCGCCGCGGUAAUACCAGCUCUCCGAGUGGUAGGGAUGAUUAUUGGGCUUAAAGCGUCCGUAGCCGGCUUAGCAAGUUUCCUGUUAAAUUCAGCGACCUAAUCGUUGAGCCGCGGGAAAUACUACUGGGCUAGGAGGCGGUAGAGGUCGACGGUACUUCUGGGGUAGGGGUGAAAUCCUAUAAUCCCGGGAGGACCACCAGUGGCGAAGGCUGUCGACUAGAACGCGCUCGACGGUGAGGGACGAAAGCUGGGGGAGCGAACCGGAUUAGAUACCCCGGUAGUC
rnacentral:rRNA from 1 species